rnacentral:lncRNA from 1 species
UCAGAACAAUAACUAAAGCAUAGAAGGAAGGCUAAAAUAAGAAUUCAGAAACUAUAAACCGGCUCUCUUCUAGCUUACGACACAAACUAUGAGUGAGAAAAGGACAAAUGAUUCGCUCUUUGCUUCAUUUUUUCCGAGGUUGUCACAACAUGAAAUGUCAUUUGGACCUAUUGGACUCAUUUUAAUUCGGCCAAAUACAUAGUAACAUACAUAAGAAGAUUUUACUUAUAUUUACCGAACUAUUUGACACGGUCGCGUGAACUUUGUUUACGAGUGUCUUGUGUUCAGAUUGUUUUAAGUGAUAAUUUAACAAUAUUUUUCCAAAUAAAUGGAAAGAAACUUUUAUUUAUAUCAAAUAAUUGAGUGUCUCGACUCUGUGACAUUAUGUCUUGUGUGGUAUGGGGCUGCAGCUCACAUUCAGGAAGAAAAGAAAAUAGCCAACAACUUCUGUCGUUUCAUCGAUAUUAAAUCCAAAAGUGUCGACUGGAUUUACAUGAAAAGUCAGUUCAAGAAGACGAGAUGAAAAAUUUAAAAGAAAAGCUGAACAAGUCACGCCUCAAGAUCAAACGACUUAAUGAAAAAAAAAGUCAAUGUGACAGGGUGUCACAAAGACAGUUUCUAAACAAAUUGACACUGUUUAGAAAUUAAUAAAUUUGUAUUUAUUGUAAAUAUAAUGUACAUAAUUAAUAACGUGUAAAAUAAAUACUUGCUAAUGAACAGAUUUACGAUCUAAUUUAUAUUUCAUUUUACCUCCUGUUCUUAUUUACUCCUACUCCAACACUCCAGGUUGAUACGAACUGCGCCCAAUAAAGAAUGUAAUGAAUGUUAUAGAUUUGUGUAAGCGACUUAGAUAAAUCUUGACUAAACCUUCCUUUACAAAUACAAAUAUACUUUAUUGCACACAACAUACAAUACUUACAAGUUUUACACGAAAGAUACAGUACACCACCUACCUACCUUUUACUUUCCCUUUCUGUUCUCUUAUGAAUACUUGUAUGCCGUAUUUUUUUUAAGUAUAAUGCUAUAUCUAGUAGGUACGAGUAUGGUAAUCCUAGUAUUGAAACAGCUUGUAGCCCUAGUAAAGACCGCCAUUUUAUGUUUACAGAGUGGCACGUUUUUUCUGUAGGUAUUUCCAGUCCAUACUCUUUUCUAUGUCUAUGGCGUGAGCCCAUCGGGCCUCUUACCGUCUGUGCGGCUUAGACCCGGCGGUUCCAAUUUGCACGGCACGUCGAUCGACACCAGUGCACGGCGGAUGACAUCAUAAAUAAAUUCGAAUAUUACAAAAUACUUACCGAUGAAACGAUAACAGUUGGCUAUUUUCUUUCCUUCCUGAAUGUGAGCUGCAGCUCCAAACUAAUAUAAACCAGACAAUAUAAUCCAAAAAUGGUUAGAUACUUACCUAUCAGAGACAGAGUCUCCUUUCAUCAAGAAGAAGAUAAUUGCAUCCUACAAAAAGAAAUCUUGUAAAAAAAAUUUAUCGACAUUAAUUGUAAGUAAAUUUAAUUUUAUCGACAUAUUAGUAAAGUGAAACCCAACACUAGGCAAUGAAAAACUUGUGACAACCUACGAAAUUACGAAACAAUUUUUGUAUAUGCGUCUUUGUCUAACAUUACGCCGGUUCCGUAAGAUAAAGUAGAGCAGAAUUAUAGAGUUCUGUUGCUAUUUUAGCCUUCCUUCUAUGCUUUAGUUAUUGUUCUGAGAUGGU